rnacentral:rRNA from 1 species
AUUGAACGCUGGCGGCAGGCCUAACACAUGCAAGUCGAACGAGUGGCGGACGGGUGAGUAAUGUCUGGGAAACUGCCUGAUGGAGGGGGAUAACUACUGGAAACGGUAGCUAAUACCGCAUACCAUCAGAUGUGCCCAGAUGUGUUUAGCUUGUUGGUUGGGUAACGGCUCACCCAGGCGACGAUCCCUAGCUGGUCUGAGAGGAUGACCAUGUGGGACGGGUAAGGGCUGCACAGUGCGAGGAUGGCGAGCUGGGAUGAGAGGAUGACCAGCCACACUGGAACUGAGACACGGUCCAGACGCCUACGGGAGGCAGGCGCAAGCCGGAUGCAGCAAUGCCGCGUGUAUGAAGAAGGCCUUCGGGUUGGAAAGUACUUUCAGCGGGGAGGAAGGUGUUGUGGUUAAUAACAGGAGAAAUUGACGGUAAACGAAGAAGAAGCACCGGCUAACUCCGUGCCAGAGCCGCGGUAAUAG